UGUUUUGGCCACACCAGCUUGUAAAAGACUGAUCUUGUCAGAAGCUAAUCAAGGUUGGGCCUGGUUAGUACUUAGGUGGGAGACCGUGUGUGAGUGUUGGUGAUGGGGCCA
rnacentral:rRNA from 1 species